rnacentral:rRNA from 1 species
GGGCCCGCACAAGCGGUGGAGCAUGUGGUUUAAUUCGAUGAUACGCGAGGAACCUUACCAGGGCUUAAAUGUAGUGGGACAGGUCUAGAGAUAGACCCUUCUUCGGACUCAUUACAAGGUGCUGCAUGGUUGUCGUCAGCUCGUGCCGUGAGGUGUCAGGUUAAGUCCUAUAACGAGCGCAACCCCUAUCGUUAGUUGCCAGCGGGUAAUGCCGGGAACUCUAGCGAAACUGCCGGUGCAAACCGUGAGGAAGGUGGGGAUGACGUCAAAUCAUCACGGCCCUUACGUCCUGGCUACACACGUGCUACAAUGGUCGGUACAGAGAGCAGCCACUACGCGAGUAGGAGCGAA